rnacentral:rRNA from 1 species
GAUGAACGCUGGCGGCGUGCCUAAUACAUGCAAGUAGAACGCUGAAGGAGGAGCUUGCUCUUCUGGAUGAAUUGCGAACGGGUGAGUAACGCGUAGGUAACCUGCCUGGUAGCGGGGGAUAACUAUUGGAAACGAUAGCUAAUACCGCAUGACAACAGUUAUUGCAUGAUAACUGUUUAAAAGGGGCAACUGCUCCACUACCAGAUGGACCUGCGUUGUAUUAGCUAGUUGGUGAGGUAACGGCUCACCAAGGCGACGAUACAUAGCCGACCUGAGAGGGUGAUCGGCCACACUGGGACUGAGACACGGCCCAGACUCCUACGGGAGGCAGCAGUAGGGAAUCUUCGGCAAUGGACGGAAGUCUGACCGAGCAACGCCGCGUGAGUGAAGAAGGUUUUCGGAUCGUAAAGCUCUGUUGUAAGAGAAGAACGAGUGUGAGAGUGGAAAGUUCACACUGUGACGGUAUCUUACCAGAAAGGGACGGCUAACUACGUG